UCGGCUAAAGUAGGAGUCGACUCGAGCACUGUAGCACUGAAAAUCAACUCUCUAUUUUUUGUCUGUUUGCAGUCCUGGAGUCGACCUGCAGUCUCGGAGUCGACUCGAGCACUGUAGCACUGAAAAUCAACUCUCUGUUUUUUUGUCUGUUCUCAGUCGGAGUCGACUCGUAAAGUUCCGGAGUCGACUCGAGCACUGUUCCUUGAAACUUCAGAUUGCCAGAGUCGACUUGAGGACUAUUCUUUUGAAUCUUUCUUUGAAUUUGCUCCUCCAACUUGAAUCCUUUGAACUUGAAACUUGCACCAAUGAAGUGUAGCUUUCUUCCAACUUUUCUUGAGAGCUUUUGAGGCCUUCUUGUAUUUUUCCAACUUGCUAUGUUCCUUGCAAAACAAAUUAUCUUUCUUCUUGCAACACAAA
rnacentral:lncRNA from 1 species